GCGGUGUUAAUUUAGUGGUAGAAUAGCGCGUUGCCAACAAUGAGAAUUUAAGAUUCUCAAGCUUUCACCUUCCAAACGAUGGAAGCAAGGUGAAAACGCGCAGACCGGGGUUCAAUUCCCCGACACCGCA
rnacentral:tRNA from 1 species